GGGCCCGCACAAGCGGCGGAGCAUGCGGAUUAAUUCGAUGCAACGCGAAGAACCUUACCAAGGCUUGACAUGGACCGGACCGGGCUGGAAACAGUCCUUCCCCUUUGGGGCCGGUUCACAGGUGGUGCAUGGUUGUCGUCAGCUCGUGUCGUGAGAUGUUGGGUUAAGUCCCGCAACGAGCGCAACCCUCGUUCCAUGUUGCCAGCGCGUAAUGGCGGGGACUCAUGGGAGACUGCCGGGGUCAACUCGGAGGAAGGUGGGGACGACGUCAAAUCAUCAUGCCCCUUAUGUCUUGGGCUUCACGCAUGCUACAAUGGCCGGUACAAAGGGUUGCGAUACUGUGAGGUGGAGCUAAUCCCAAAAAGCCGGUCUCAGUUCGGAUUGGGGUCUGCAACUCGACCCCAUGAAGUCGGAGUCGCUAGUAAUCGCAGAUCAGCAACGCUGCGGUGAAUACGUUCCCGGGCCUUGUACACACCGCCCGUCAAGUCACGAAAGUUGGUAACACCCGAAGCCGGUGGCCUAACCCCUUGUGGGAGGGAGCUGUCGAAGGUGGGACUGGCGAUUGGGACU
rnacentral:rRNA from 1 species